ACGGGAGGCAGCAGUGGGGGAUAUUGCACAAUGGGGGAAACCCUGAUGCAGCGACGCCGCGUGAGUGAAGAAGUAUUUCGGUAUGUAAAGCUCUAUCAGCAGGGAAGAAAAUGACGGUACCUGACUAAGAAGCCCCGGCUAACUACGUGCCAGCAGCCGCGGUAAUACGUAGGGGGCAAGCGUUAUCCGGAUUUACUGGGUGUAAAGGGAGCGUAGACGGCUUUGCAAGUCUGAAGUGAAAGCCCGGGGCUCAACCCCUGAACUGCUUUGGAAACUGUCAAGCUUGAGUACAGGAGCGGAAAGCGGAAUUCCUAGUGUAGCGGUGAAAUGCGUAGAUAUUAGGAGGAACACCAGUGGCGAAGGCGGCUUUCUGGACUGUAACUGACACUGAGGCACGAAAGCGUGGGGAGCAAACAGGAUUAGAUACCCUGGUA
rnacentral:rRNA from 1 species